AACGAUAUUUUCUUUACAAAGACCAAAAGUGUUUUGGCUGAUAAAGUAACUAAUGCAGAAACUUUAUUUUCGUACUUUGUGGCUGAGCACAACCUUUCCUUUGCAGUAACUGACCAUUUCACAAAAUUGUGUAAAUUAAUGUUCUCUGACAGUGAAAUAGCUUCAGGUUAUUCCUGUGGAAAAACUAAAACACCCAAAAGUAAAGAGGGCCCUUUCAGUUGAAAAUAACAAAGUGGUAGUUGAAAACAAGCCAAGAUUUUUUGUUUUGUCAAAACUUGCUAAAACAUUACUGGUUUUGCCAAACAGCAAUGCAGACAGUGAGAAGGCAUUUUCUUUAGUAAAGAAAAUAGCUACAGAGUUUAGGGCUGAUCUUAAUAAGGAUACACUGUGUGCUCUUCUUUCUUGUAAAAUGAAUACACAUUUGCAUUGCUAUGAACUGAAACCAAGUGCAGUUCUUUUAAAGAAUGCCAAGUCUGCUACUAUGGAAUAUAACAAUAGUCUGAAAUAAACUUGUAUACAUGUUCUAACUGUUUCAUAUACAUAUUGACUAUAUAAAUUAUAUGUAAACAUAUUUUUGUUCUUCAAUUGAGCCCGCAAAAUGUCGUACGCGUUAUGACCUGAGAUUUUUUUUCUCAAUGCAGGUCAUGACCUGACUUUUCAUUUUCAGAGGUUGACAGGUAUGGUA
rnacentral:lncRNA from 1 species